rnacentral:hammerhead_ribozyme from 1 species
AUCUAGAUGAUGAGUCCCAGAAGGGACGAAAUGAACAUCGUGGAU